rnacentral:rRNA from 1 species
AUUGAACGCUGGCGGCAUGCUUUACACAUGCAAGUCGAACGGCAGCACGGGCUUCGGCCUGGUGGCGAGUGGCGAACGGGUGAGUAAUGCAUCGGAACGUGCCCAUUUGUGGGGGAUAACUACGCGAAAGCGUGGCUAAUACCGCAUACGCCCUGAGGGGGAAAGCGGGGGAUUCUUCGGAACCUCGCGCAAUUGGAGCGGCCGAUGUCAGAUUAGCUUGUUGGUGAGGUAAAGGCUCACCAAGGCGACGAUCUGUAGCGGGUCUGAGAGGAUGAUCCGCCACACUGGGACUGAGACACGGCCCAGACUCCUACGGGAGGCAGCAGUGGGGAAUUUUGGACAAUGGGGGCAACCCUGAUCCAGCCAUGCCGCGUGAGUGAAGAAGGCCUUCGGUGUAAGCUCUUCUAGCCGGGAAGAAACGACACUCUCUAAUAUAGGUGUGGAUGACGGUACCGGAAGAAGAAGCACCGGCUAACUACGUGCCAGCA